CCCGACUGCUAUUUGGGUGAGAAUAAGCCAUGCGAGUUGAAUGGGAUACCUAAAGUUCCCAUAGCAAACUGCUCAGUAACACAUGAUCAACUUACCCUAUAGAGAAAAAUAACCUCGGGAAACUGAGGAUAAUGUUUCAUAAUUGAAUUGGCUUGGAAAAGUUUUUCAAUGAAAGGGAUAAAAAAAAUGGUUUUUAUCUGCUAUAGGAUAGGAUCGUGUUCGAUUAUGGUUGUUGGUGAGAUAAUGGCUCACCAAGCCGAUAAUCGAUAGGGGCCGUGAGAGCGGGAGCCCCGAGAUGGGUACUGAGACAACGACCCAGGCCUUACGAGGCGCAGCAGGCGCGGAACCUCCGCAAUACACGAAAGUGUGACGGGGUUACCCAAAGUGUUCAAUAGAACUGUGGUAGGUGAGUAAUGUCCCCUACUAGAAAGGAGAGGGCAAGGCUGGUGCCAGCCGCCGCGGUAAAACCAAGCUCUUCAAGUGGUCGGGAUAAUAUUGGGCUUAAAGUGUCCGUAGCCGGUUUAAUAAAUUCCUGGUAAAAUCGGGUAGCUUAACUAUCUGCAUGCUAGGAAUACUGCUAUACUAGAGGGCGGGAGAGGUCUGAGGUACUACAGGGGUAGGGGUGAAAUCUUAUAAUCCUUGUAGGACCACCAGUGGCGAAGGCGUCAGACUGGAACGCGCCUGACGGUGAGGGACGAAAGCCAGGGGAGCGAACCGGAUUAGAUACCCGGGUAGUCCUGGCCGUAAACGAUGCAUACUAGGUGAUGGUACGGCCAUAAGCCGUAUCAGUGCCGUAGGGAAACCGUUAAGUGUGCCGCCUGAGAAGUACGGUCGCAAGGCUAAAACUUAAAGGAAUUGGCGGGGGAGCACCACAAGGGAUGAAGCCUGCGGUUCA
rnacentral:rRNA from 1 species